rnacentral:rRNA from 1 species
AAUAUUAUACUAUCGGGGCCACCCUUUUGCUGCGCCGCCGCGUUCGCGAAAAAGCCCUUCGUGUCGUCACGUUCCGUCCUAAGGGCAGUAACGGAACGUGCCUUGGGAUGAGUCUCUGGCUGCUUACCUACCAGCAGCGGCGGUAAGUCGUAGGGGGCGAGCGUUAUCCAGAAUUAUUGGGCGUAAAGGGUGCGUAGGCGGCCUUUUAAGUCAGAUGUGAAAGGAUACGGCUUAACCGUAGUUAGCAUUUGAAACUAAAAGGCUUGAGUGCAGGAGAGGAGAGUGGAAUUCAUAGUGUAGCGGUGAAAUGCAUAGAUAUUAGGAGGAACACCAGUGGCGAAGGCGACUCUCUGGACUGCAACUGACGCUGAGGCACGAAAGCGUGGGGAGCGAACA